rnacentral:rRNA from 1 species
AUACGGAGGAUCCGAGCGUUAUCCGGAUUUAUUGGGUUUAAAGGGUGCGCAGGCGGCCAUUUAAGUCAGCGGUUAAAUCGUGGGGCUCAACCCCAUUCUGCCGUUGAUACUGGGUGGCUUGAUUGCGGUCGAGGUUGGCGGAAUUCGUUGUGUAGCGGUGAAAUGCAUAGAUAUGACGAAGAACACCGAUUGCGUAGGCAGCUGACCAGACCGCAAAUGACGCUCAUGCACGAAAGUGCGGGGAUCGAACAGGAUUAGAUACCCUGGUAGUCCGCACAGUAAACGAUGAUGACUAACCGUCGGCGAUAGACCGCCGGCGGCCAAGCGAAAGCGAUAAGUCAUCCACCUGGGGAGUACGCCGGCAACGGUGAAACUCAAAGGAAUUGGCGGGG